AUACCCCAUAGGCCGAGAGGUUAAAUGCAGAGAUGCGCGGCAGGAGGAGCUCGUGUCCUAUCAGCUGGUUGGUGAGGUAACGGCUCACCAAGGCUUCGACGGGUAGCCGGCCUGAGAGGGUGACCGGCCACACUGGAACUGAGACACGGUCCAGACUCCUACGGGAGGCAGCAGUGGGGAAUAUUGGGCAAUGGGAGAAAUCCUGACCCAGCGACGCCGCGUGAACGAAGACGGCCUUCGGGUUGUAAAGUUCUUUUAUGUGGGAAGAAUAAAGUGACGGUACCACAUGAAUAAGCCCCGGCUAACUACGUGCCAGCAGCCGCGGUAAUACGUAGGGGGCGAGCGUUGUCCGGAAUUACUGGGCGUAAAGGGCACGCAGGCUGUGCUUCAAGUCAGCUGUAAAAGGAUGCGGCUUAACCGUGUUAUGCAGUUGAGACUGAGGUGCUGGAGUGCCGGAGAGGCAAGUGGAAUUCCCAGUGUAGCGGUGAAAUGCGUAGAUAUUGGGAAGAACAUCGGUGGCGAAGGCGACUUGCUGGACGGUAACUGACGCUGAGGUGCGAAAGCCAGGGUAGCGAACGGGAUUAGAUACCCCGGUAGUCCUGGCUGUAAACGAUGAAUGCUAGGUGUGCGAGCAGAGAUGUUGGCGUGC
rnacentral:rRNA from 1 species